AGGUCUUGUGUAAGGUGUUGUGGUUACCAAGGCGGAGGCCCCGCAUCUGGUAGAGAAGGCAGACAUGAACAUGGUGAAGGCCAUGUGCAGUGGGGUCAGUGCUGUGACAGAGCUGAGCCUUCGGAUGAGACCAUGACCCCAGCUACAAGUUGACUGCAACCUUACAGAAGACCUUCAGCCAGAAGCUUCCAGCUAAGCCAUGCCUGGAUUCCUGACCCUCAGAAACUGUGGGCGGCACCUGACUGGAGUGGUGCAGAGGUGUGCAGACUGGCGGGAGGACCUCUGGCUCGGGCUCACACACUGCUGUGUGCCAAGUCACAGAUUGCACGGCCGCUCUCCGCUUGCUCCAGAGUGGACCGCAUGGUUGUGCACACACUGGAUGCUUCAGUCUGUGGUCCUGCUAAAGAUCAAACAGGAACAGCUCUCCAGGUGAUACAAAGAAGGCACGCCUGGCAGGAGGGUAUCCUGAGAGAUGUGUGGAGGAGGAGGCUCCAUGCUCCAACGUGAUGCUGACAAUUUAGUUCAGUGCAGCACAGAUACAUCUAGUGUUCUUUGUAUCCAGGGACUUGGGAUACAGAGACGAGUAAGACAACUUCUGUUCCCCUGAAGUGCUCUCCAGCCCGCUGGGGGAAAUGGAUAAUGGUGAUUGCAGGGAGUCCGUCCUUCGUUAGAAGCUGCCCCAGGUGACAGAGAGUCUUAGCAAUCUGGGUAGGACAUGGAGGGGAAGUCGGAGAGGACCUGUCCAGGUAGUUGAAGUUUUCUAAGAUGGAAGACAAAUUCAUUUUAAGGCAGAGAAAGCUUUUAGUUCUGGCACAUUCAACCUGUUAUGCCCCAAUAAUGGGUCUGUGAUUAAAGGAGCCAGACUGAUAUAAAGCGAAGGUCAAGCAAAGCUUUAUUUCGCGCCAAGCAUCAAGAAUCUAACGAACGUUCGGGGACGCACCUCUUACAAGAGAGGGCGACCCUUCUCUGUUUCACAGUCUAGCUUUUAAGGGCAAAGGCCAUGUGGUCGGGCCUAGCCAUGCACAGGUGACCAAUGAGAUUGUGACACACACAGGAAACUCCACAGUGAUGCUAGGUGACCAGUUGAGUUACAAUUUACCCUAGUAGACAUUUGACCCAGCCUAUUACACCUUGAUUGGGAUUGGCGCCAAAAAGGCUCCCAAAGGGCAGGGCCCAUACUCCUCGGUAACCAGGGAGACAGUAUGCAUCCCCCCACUGAUCAGAUGUCUCCACCUGGCCUGACCCACCCUGUAUCUGGGCUUUGUUACCUGUAGCUGAUUUCUGGGACUUGUCUGCAAGCAAAUCCCCUGGGGGAAGGGGAGCAGGGACAGUUUCUAAACAGGUCCUUACACAACCUCCAACCUGUUGAUUAUCUAUAACCCUGCAUGGAUAUAGACUUCCGUAAUGUCCCAGCUGGCAGCGGGAGCCCUAAGUCAAAGUGCAGUUCCAUGUGAGAAAUGCCCUCUUUCCUGCUGUCGCUGAGGUCACUGCUCCCAGGGAUCCCGCCACGGGGAACCUCAUCUGCCAUGAGAGCUGGAAAAAAAGUGGCACAUGUAAGGAGCCCAAGUUUCUGGAAGGAGGAAAUGUGGCACAUUUUCAUAAACAGAUGAGGCAAAAAGUGGGUGUCAUCAUGGAAUGUUGAAAUCCCAGCCAAAGCAAGUGAGGUAGGUCGAAGCCUGCAACAGAGCCAACUCCAGGGGGCCAAGAAUGCAGCUCGGGGGCCACACUUCACAAUCUGGAGGAGGUCCGUGGGCUCCUUCCUCCAUCCCUGCCCUGGAAUGCCAGUCAGUCAACUGUCUAAUGAACAGGGAAGGCCUGCCCUGUACCGGGGACACCAGAACAUCAUCACAAGAAGCCUGAGGAUUACAGAGUACAGGGAGAGUGCUAGGAAGGCAAGGGAGGGGACUCUUAACCUAGUCUGGGGGACCAGAGAAGGCUUCUGGGCAGGGGUUCUGUUUCCGCUGAGACCUGAAAGGGAAGGAAGGAGGCAGCCAGGUGGGGAGGGGCAGGAGGUUUGGCAAGAAGGCAUGUGACCGUUGCAGUGCUGAGUGCUGGGGUGAGGAGGAGAAAUGCCUCUUCCCUAGUUCUGGUUUUAAGUCUUUCCUGAAGACUCCUGGCCUCUGGCUCUCCCUUAGUCCUCCCCAGGGUGGAAGGGUGAGUUAUUUGAUGGGGAUCUGUUUUGCGAUGGUCUGGGUGAUAUGAGGCCAGCAGCUAGGAAUGCCUGGGGGCACUCCCCUGGACCCCUACUCCUGCUGCUGGCCUCCCCUCCUCCCGGUGGAGGCCACCUGGCAGCCAGGCUGCAAGGCACAUCUCCUACAACCUAUAGGGAACCUUAACAAAACCAGGUUUAUUACUCACACAAGCCCUGGAGAGGACACAGUGGCCUCAGGACCAUGCUCGGAGGUCAGGGGUAAAGAGAGGGCAGCAGACCUGGGAUUCUGCCUUUUCGGGCUUGAGGAUCGGGGUGGAGGGUUUCAUGAGUUCACUCUUCACUGCUGAAUUUAUUUAUUUUUUAUUUAUUUUUUUAUUUUUUUAAAGAUUUUAUUUAUUUAUUUGACAGAGAGAGAUCACAAGUAGACGGAAAGGCAGGCAGAGAGAGAAAGAGAGAAGCAGGCCCCCUGCUGAGCAGAGAGCCCGAUGCGGGACUCGAUCCCAGGACCCUGAAAUCAUGACCUGAGCCGAAGGCAGCGGCUUAACCCACUGAGCCACCCAGGCGCCCUUCACUGGUGAAUUUAAAGCAAAGUUCUGAAAUUCUAACGCAGUGCAUGGCGAUUACAGUCAAUUGUACUAUAAAGUUUCAAGUGGCUAAGAAACGUAGAUCUUAACUGUUUUCACCACACACACACACAAAAUUAUGUGACAUGACAGAAGUGUUGGUUAACGUUGCAUAGUGUGAUAUAUAAAUGUAUCAAAUGAACAUGUCGUAUGCCUAGAGCUUAUAUAAAACUGCACAUCAAUUAUAUCUUGAUGGAAAAAAGAAAAGGAAAAACUUAAAAAAAAAACCACCUAAGAAUGAGAAUUAGAGCACAGGAAGGGAAAGGCAGGGUCCCUCACUGGGCCAGGUACGCAGGUCCCCCAGGGUGCUCUAGAAGGGGAAUGUCAUGGACUGGACGGGGCGGCCUGGCACGUGCCGUCUGCAUGUGUCGCCAGCAGUGCAUUAUUGGAGAUGGAGGUCUUUGAGAGGGAAGCCUUGAAAUUCGAAGCCUUAGUUAAUGGCAGGCGCUCCUGUGACAAUCUAAAACGCUACCUGUCAGGCCCUGAUGCUAUGGUAUCAUUCAAAGUUUAGAGCAGGCAACAGAAAGCUCUCUCAGUGUUUUGGGUAGAAAAGGGUUGACCAGGUAUCCGUGCUUUCGUCAUUGGAAAGACUGGAAGGAGGGGAAGAGGGGUUCAAGGAAAAGGUCUCCAUGGGAGACUCCAAAAGCCCAGAAGAAAUGGCCCCUGAGUGGAGCUACUACUUCCCAGCCCUCUGCUGGGCUGCUAACUGAACACAGACCCCCACAGCUGCAAGUCGGGAACCCGGACACCUCAGUCAAGACGCUGCCACAACAGCCUGUUGUUACGCGCCAAAAAUGGGUGCUGGAAGGUCGCUGCAGAAAAGUCUCAAGUCUCCACACGAUGACUUGGCGGCAACAGCAAAAUCAAAAGGGGCUGCCAUCACAUCUGCACCUGUUUCCAACCAGAAGCCUUGCUACAAAGGAGCCUGUGCUACAGUUUUUGGCUUUCUGAGCUCUGUCUUCAGAAAGGAGCCUUUGACGGUGGGCUGGAGGUUGGAAGAGUUGAGCCACGGUGCAUCACAGUGGGGUACACACACUGGUCUCCAUUUCUUGACUGGGUAGAUCCAGUCUAGCAUAGGUCCUGGAUCUCAGGAUUUGGUUUUUCUUUUUCUCUCUCUACUGGGAUGAGUGGAAGGCGGUGUCUGCUCUACACAUGCCACCUUUCCCUGAAAUGGGCUGGUCCAAGGUCAAGAGUGGGGACUGUGAGGUAGCAAGUAGACUGAUUCAAACACUGAGCUAUGUUCUUCAAUCUAUUCAAUCUAUUUCAGUCUUCUUACCUGCUGACUUUGUUCUUUUGUUUUUUGUUUUCAAUUGUUUCAGUAUGUGGGUAGGGAAGAAGAAUACAAUUUACAGGGUCCUCCCAAAAACCCAUCUUCUAAUAUGCUGCAAAGAGCAAAGAGCUGGGGGUAGAGAGACACAAAAUGAGACUGAAGAGGAUGAUUCUGUUUGGUCCUCUGGGUUUACUUAAGGAUUGUGAGCCAUGAGAAAGCAUUGGAGAAGCAUAUCUGAAGGGAUGAGCCUAAAGUCAAAAUGCAUUAGCCUAAAGUCAAAAUGCCUGGGUCGCUCAGCCUGAUAAGCAUCUGCCUUCGGCUCAGGUCAUGAUCACGGGGUGCUGGGAUCAAGCCCCGUGUCAAGCUCCUUGCUCAGCAGGAAGCCUGCUCUGCCCCUUACCCCUACUCAUGCUCUCUCUCGCUCUCACUCUCAAAUAAAUAAAAUCUUUUUAAAAAUGCACUAAAUGGACAAAGAAGCAAACAAAGGAGAAAAUCAUUGUAGGAAGUACAAAGACUUGGUUUCCUUAUUCUGCCCCUCAUGGACUAUGUGACCUCUGGGUCUCAGUUUCUUCAUCUGUAAACUGGACAUAAUUAAAUCUUUAUCUUAGGAGAACAAAAAGGGGAAACUGCUUAGGAUGGCGCUUGCCAGAAAAAGGUUGAAUCUGAAUCCAAAUCCGACACUGUAAUCACUAAUGAAGCAAGUUCACAAAAUGAAUUUGGAUGAACACAGAGUAACCUAAAGCACCCUCUCUCUGGGACCAAACCCCCAGCAAUGAGUGUGUUGGAGAGUAUUUGAAACUUUACACGGUGGUUCCACACCUACAUUCGGGAGUUGCCACUUACAGCCGCGGGAUCUCGGCCAGGUGAUGUGAUCUAUUCAAGCCUAGGUGUUCUCUUCUUUAAAAUGGCACCAAAUUAGGGCGCCUGGGUGGCUCAGUGGGUUAAGCCGCUGCCUUCGGCUCAGGUCAUGAUCUCAGGGUCCUGGGAUCGAGUCCCACGUUGGGCUCUCUGCUCAGCAGAGAGCCUGCUUCCUCCUCUCUCUCUCUGCCUUCUUGUGAUCUCUCUCUCUGUCGAAUAAAUAAAUAAAAUCUUAAAUAAAUAAAUAAAAUAAAAUAAAAUGGCACCAAAUUAUUGUACUUCACUUCAGAAGCCUGGGGGAAUUAGAUGUGAAAAUCCACACAAAACAUCUGGUAUAGAAUAAAUGUUCUGUGUUAUCUGUUGUUGAUCUGGACCAAACCAUCAGUGGAGCAGCAGGCAUGAGACACAGCUCCGCCCUUCACGGCAGGAAUGCAGUGUGGUGCAAAGUGAGUGGAAGCAAUUCCUACUAUUCCUCCCACCUGUGAGAUGGACUGUGAGUCCGGCAGAUGUCAAGACAGACGGAAAACAGCCCAGUGAGCUCACUCUUCCACCACAAGAGUGUGGGGAGUGAAGGGAGUGAGGAGACCCUGCAAGGUUGUGUGAUCACCAUGCUUUCUCCACGGACCCUGCUCCUGACAAGAAGCGAUCUGAGGUGAAGAACGACAGAAGCAAGUAUGAGAAGACGCAGUGUCGACCCACCAUGACAGCCAGCUUCUAAAUGAUUCCCGAUGAUAGUCCAGUGCCGGGCACCCAUGCUCUUCUGUAAUGCCCUCUGCUGCAGUGUGGGCUGGACUUGCUGACCUGAGCUUGCACCUGAGUGCAUGCUUGUGAUGAGCUAGACUGUCGAGAUCAGUUAUACAAGACGGUGAUCUUGAUCUUGCCCGCACUCUGACUCCUCUCUUGCUUGCUCUGAUGAAGCAAGCUGCUGCACCGUGAGCUGCCCUAGAGAGAGGUUCCCAGGGCAAGUAACUGGGGGAGGCCCUCAGUCCAACAGCCCAGGAGGAACUGAAUCUCGCCGACAACCUCCUGAGUGAGCUUGGAAGCACAUGCUGCCCCAUUGCUGUCUCGAGGUCUUAACUGAAAGCCCAGUCAACACCUUGCUGGCACCCUCGUGAGAGAUCCUCAAGCACAGGACCCAGCUAAGCCAUACCCAGGUUCUUGACCCACACAAGCUAUCAGACAGUACACGUUGUAAGUCACAGUCUAUGAAUAAUUUAUAAUGCAGCAAUACAGAACUAAUACACCCAGCAAAUAAGUCCCUAGGUCUCUCCUGACUUCGCUUUUUUACCAAAGUGCUUGGUUCGUCCUGCAGCAGGAAACACAACAAAAUCUGAGUGUUUCUGCCAUUAGUAGGCCACGGGGAAUAUGUCUCCAGUAAUUACUGCCCAACCAGUGAGCAUCCACUUCCUUCAGGCAGCAGACACACUAAAUGGGUCACAUAGAUCCACAAUAUCCAAUUUUCCUGAAUAAGAACUAAGUGGAAAAUCUAAGAAAUAACCAGAUGAGCUGGAUGGGGAAUUAGAGGAUUCCCAUAACCUCAUUCAGACAGAUGGAGGCACCAAAAAGGAAACGUGAACAUGAGAAACACACACAGAAACCGAAACUCAAGAAGUUAAUGCGAGAUACGAAAGAUACAUGAGGAACAUUCUUUUGAAGGUUUGUACUAGGAAAGUCGAAAUACUUUGUUCCGUCUCAAGGAGAUUAGAGCAAACACAGAGUCCAGGAAAUGGGAAACGAAGAAGCAGACAAGGAGACUUCGGUCAAAGGUGAAACAGCCGCUGCCAUAACUGAGGAAAAAAAGGAGAAAGAUAACUAAAGAAAACGAAAGCGCUUUAGAAAUGUCAAAACCUGACCAAAUUUGGGGCACCUGGCUGGCUCAGUUGGAGAGCGUACGACUGUUGAUCUCAGGGUUGUGAGUUCAAACCACAGGUUGGGUGUAGACAGGACUCAAAUAAAUAAAGCGUAGGGGUGCCUGGGUGGCUCAGUUGGUUGGGUGUCUGUCUUUGGCUCAGGUCGUGAUCCCAGGUUCUUGGGAUCGAGUCCCACAUCGGGCUCCCUGCUCAGCGGGGAGCCUGCUUCUCCUUCUCCUUCUGCUGCUCCCCCUGCUUGUGCUCUCUCUCUGGCUCAAAGAAAUAAAAUCUUUAAAAAAAAUAAACUUAAAAAAAGAAAAGACCCCCCAAAUUGACCAGAGUUUACCAGAAAUUGAAGUAUAGUGAUGUUAAUGUCGUCUUGUUUUCCCACCUCUUUUUUUUUUUUUAAGAUUUUAUUUAUUUACUUGAUAGCGAGAGAGUGAGAGAGAGCAUGAGAGGGGGAGGGUCAGAGGGAGAAGCAGACUCCCCACUGAGCAGGGAGCCCAAUGCGGGACUCGGUCCCGGGACUCCAGGAUCAUGACCUGAGGCAAAGGCAGUCACUCAACCAACGGAGCCACGCAGGGCCUCUUUCCCAGCUCUUUUUAAGAUAUAAUUAACACAGUGUGUGAGUUUUAGGUGUACACUGUAUUGAUCUGAUACAUUUAUAAGUUACAAAAUGAUUAGCACCAUGUUAGCAGGUAGUAAUCUGCUGAUGGCAGUCUCCAUUAAAAGCACCCAGAAUGGGGACGCCAGGGUGGCUCAGUUGGUUAAGCAUCAGACUCUUGAUUUUGGCUUGUGUCAUAAUCUCAUGUGAGAUCAUGCUCCCCGUCGGGAUCUGUGCUUAGCACAGAGAUUGCUUGAGACUCUCUCACUCCCUCUCCCACUGCCUCUCUCCCUUCACUCUCUCAAACAAAAACAAAAACAAAAACACAAAAAAGCUCACUACAUUAUCGGGCAAAAUUAAUUAAAAACUAUUCACAUCAGUGUACCAUCUAAAGUUACCAAUCUACAAGAUGAAACAAAGACGUGUCCAGUGUCCAGGUAUCAAAAUUAACUGUUUACAAAAGUAAAAAACAAACAAACAAACAAAACAAAAAAACCCAAAACCCAAAGUCAAAUUGGUUUCAAAUUUCUCAGCAACAGCUGAGGCCAACAACGAAGGCGAGAUGUGACCCAGGGCUCCGCAUCUGAUUAAGCUGCUGCUCACAGGGACAGAACAGAAAGGCAUUCUCACACAAGCAGAUUCCAGUUGUGGGAACUCUGAAUCUAACUUAUGAAAUCCGUCAGGAUUCGACCAGAGAAGUGGAACCGUGUGCGUGCACGUGCGCAUGUAUGUACGUGUGCAUGCGUGUGUGGGGAUUUGACUCAUGCAGUGUGGGAGCUGGGUAGGCAGCUUUCACAAUGUGAUGCUGGGGAUUGAGGGACACAGGGCUACCAGUCAGGAAGGGACGGUAAAGUAGAGAAAGGAAAAGAGCACUCUGGAUCCGGUGAGCUGGAGUCCAUGAGGACAGUCCCUGGGACAGAAACUCCUGUCAUCACAGAGCUAAGCACACUCACCUGGCCCAAGAGGCAGAGACGCUCCAGGAGGAUCCAAGAGAAUGUGAAGCCGUGGCAGGCCUGGCUGCGGAGGGGCUGAGGCGGCAGAGAAAUGACAGCACUUUGAGCUAAAAUUGGCUGCUGUCUCAUUUCCAGCCUCCGAAUCUCCAUGAGAAUCUCUAGUCUUGUGGGCCGUUCUAAUAAAAAACAUACAGGAAAGAUAGUUCUGGAAAAAUAUAAUUUGGCCUCGGCAAGUGGAAACAUUACAAAGUCCCCACGGUCCAUCCCUUUCCAACUUGGCACCUGGAUACAUUGCCUUAAACCACACUUACUCUCCAAAUAACGACAGUCCAGAACCACACUUGUGUAUAACACAACACAAUAUCCACCAUACGGCAAAAACCACACUGACCUUCUCCCCAGAACAGCACCAGAGUCCCUGGUUUGUCUCUGAAGAAUGGGCAUUCUUUUCUGAGCUGGUUCAUACUCCCUUUUUGACAUCUUGAUACUUAAAUACUUACACAGAACGUUAUUUAUUAUGAGCACAUCUUAAAUUAGAAAAUAAAGAAUUGAGAGAUUUUUAAAAUUUGGUUAAUAUUUAUUAAAAUAUAUUCACAUCACCAUAAGGGAGAAAUACUCAUACUAUUACAGUCUUUUCUACAACAGGUCAUGAGGUCACGGAUCGUGUUUGUAACUACCAUCAUUCACCACUUACUCCUUAUUCCUUUGUCCUCAGCAAGCACCUCGGUUCAUCAUAGUUCCUCACCUGGUGGAAUGAUCCAAACCUCUGUGAAAGGUGUGAGCCAUUACCAGUAUAAAUUGGGUUAUUACUGUUUUCCUUUUACUUGAGUCAGAGGCUAUGGGAAUGCUGUAAGGUACUGCAAAGCAUCUCUGGCAUUCUCCCUCAUUAUCCCUACUGUGUAGUAACAACCCAAUUUCCCUUUGAUAGGAUCAGUCACCCCAGCCUGUCCUAUGCCUGUUUAUUCAGUGCCCAAAGACACCAGAUGGCAGCUUCCAACUCCACUUCAAGGCAAUCUUUGCUCUUGUGUCCUGGGGAAAGCAUUUCUCCCUUUAUAACUAAGACUUCUAGACCAGUAGAAGCUCAAGCUGUAGGAAUGAGAAGCAAAAAUUUUGACUACCGGAUCAACAGGGCUGAUAGGGAGAGGAGCAACUCUUUAUUUUUGUGCCUUGAUUCCCAGACUCCCAGAUCCAAGGUGCGGGAGAAGCAGGAUGCCGACGGACAGACAGCAUGUACCGCAUGCUGAAGGACUGGGCCUCGGCCCUGUGAGGGAUCCCCACCAGGCUGGUACCGUGGUUGCUCACUCAACCACGUGUCAGGGCAGUUGCUUCAGAAUGGUGGGGGAACAUGGUAAAACCAGUGAAUGCCAAGAGCAUGAACCCACUUCUGCAUUCCGUGUGCUGCGAAUACCAUGAUGGCGGAUGGCACAUUCUCUAAGGCCACAGAUGGCAGUUUUGGCAGAGGCAUUGUGGGCAGAGACGGCGUAUCUAUGUCCCCAGCAAGUGUCAGUUCCAGUAAGAUCAACCCGCUGCCUUUUUCGUAAUGAACGUGGUCCCAUGUCAUUAACCUGAUACCGGGUAGCUGGCUGAUCCCUCCGGGCACGGGCACCGUUGUCAGGGGCUCAGCGUUGUCCCUCGCGCUGGCAGUUGAGGCACUCGGCAGCAGCUGUAGCCAGGUCAGUCUUGGUGAGCACGAGUCCACUGCUGUCGCUAUGGCCACUUCGGUUGGCACUGAGCCCACAGGUGUUGCUGGGGAAAGAGGCUGUUCCAUGUCCACGGAACGGGUGAUUCUCGCCAUCUGAUUAUUAAAGAUCUUCCUCUACCCUUUGGUGAGCAUUCACCUGGACAGAAGUCUGUCCUCGUACCUCUUCCUCAGGCCUUGUGAUUUUUCAGUUGUGUUCCUUCCAAGUCCAGCUACCCAGCCAAAUGAUGCCUUGGUGUGGACCCUUUCUUCGGACCACCUCUCCUUUCCGGCAAAAUGAACAAUCAGGUACCUUGUUCCAAGUUCUGUCCACUGGGAGGACUUCCACUCUGUCCACUCCCAGGUGAUGCAUGCCCACCAUGCAGAAAAAUCUGUAAAUGAAGCCCCAGAUGUCCUUCCCACGUGAACUGAUCACAGAAAAUUUCCCAUGAAGGCAUGGCUGUGGGUUGAGAAAGAAUGUAAUAUAGCAGGAGGAGGGCUUUGGGCAUUGUGGAAUUGGUGCUAGGAUCUUUUUUUUUUUUUAAGAUUUUAUUUAUUUAUUUGCAAGCAGAGAUCACAAGUAGGCAGAAAGGCAGGCAGAGGGAGAGAGGAGGAAGCAAGCUCCCUGCCAAGCAGAGAGCCCGAUGCGGGGCUCUAUCCCAGGACCCUGGGAUCAUGACCUGACCCGAAGGCAGAGGCUUUAACCCACUGAGCCACCCAGGCGUCCCUGGUGAUAGGAUCUUAAGGCAGUAGAAGAUUCAUUUCCUCAGGCUGGGAUGGAAGGGCUAUGUCUAGUGGCAAAAAGAAAAAGGUCAGAGGUCUCUAGCUUCACUGGAAUCUGCCAGUGUGCAUAUCCUAAUGUUCAAACUCAGAUCUCUUCCCAACUAGUACCCUAACUUCUUUCCCUCUUUUUUUCUUUCUUUCUUUUUUUUUUUU